rfam:Eimeria mitis, Houghton, WGS project CBTT01000000 data, contig: Emh_contig3498_3
CCUUAGGCUUCUCUAGAAGCCACCACAAAUAAAAAAAAAAUAAAAU